GCUGGGCACGGUGGUGUGUGCCUGUGUCCCAGCUACUCAGGAGGCUGAGGUGGGAGGAUCGCUUGAGCCUGGGCUGUAAUGCGCUAUGCCGACUGGGUGUCCACACUAAGUUUGGCAUCAAUAUGGUGACCUCCUGGGAGUGGGGGACCAGGUUGCCUAAGGAGGGGUGAACCAUCCCAGGUCAGAAACGGAGCAGAUGAAAACUCCUGUGCUGAUCAGUAGUGGGAUCACGCCUGUGAAUAGCCACUACACUCCAGCCUGGGCAACACAGCAAGACCCCAUCUCUU
ensembl:misc_RNA Metazoa_SRP Metazoan signal recognition particle RNA